GCUGUGACUGCACCUUGGGGCAGCCCCAUGGAGUCCAGCCCACUAUAAGACCACAGCCCUCGACCCUGCCGAGCCCACCAGAGAGACACACGCAGAGAUGCUGGUGCUGGUGGGACUGGUGCUGUUCCUUGUGCCUGCAGAAUCCCUGACUGCCUUCCCCCCAAAGUUCCAGGUGGGGAAGCUCAACCAGGACAUGGUGCUGCAAUGUGACACUUCAGAGCAGCACAUCUACUGGACACUGAACGGAGAGGAGGACCCCAUGGCUGAACUGGUGCCUGAGGGCCAGAACCUCACCAUCCUCGGCUUGGACCUGCCAGCCACUGGCAACUACAGCUGCUGGGCCGGCCCUGUCCUGCUGGACACCACCUACG